rnacentral:rRNA from 1 species
CCCAGACUCCUACGGGAGGCAGCAGUGAGGAAUAUUGGUCAAUGGGCGGAAGCCUGAACCAGCCAAGUCGCGUGAAGGAUGACGGCCCUACGGGUUGUAAACUUCUUUUGUCAGGGAGCAAUUGAGUCCACGUGUGGGCUUAGCGAGAGUACCUGAAGAAAAAGCAUCGGCUAACUCCGUGCCAGCAGCCGCGGUAAUACGGAGGAUGCGAGCGUUAUCCGGAUUUAUUGGGUUUAAAGGGUGCGUAGGCGGAAUAUCAAGUCGGCGGUAAAAAUUCGGGGCUCAACCCCGUCGUGCCGUUGAAACUGGUUUUCUUGAGUGAGCGAGAAGUAUGCGGAAUGCGUGGUGUAGCGGUGAAAUGCAUAGAUAUCACGCAGAACUCCGAUUGCGAAGGCAGCAUACCGGCGCUCAACUGACGCUCAUGCACGAAGGUGCGGGUAUCGAACAGGAUUAGAUACCCCCGUACUG